AUUAUUUCCCAUACAUACACUCAUUUUCAAAUGCUCAAGUUUUAUUCGAGAUUGUUGGUUGAUGCAAAAAAUCUUGCUACAUUAACUAAAAAUACAUCUUUAAAAUUUCCAAAUCCAGGACAUCAAUCAUACAAAUAUUUACCAGAAUUUAAUUAUUUAGAUAAUAAACAUAUAUGUGGUAACAUUUACAAAUCAAAUUUUUUAUUUAAACAUAUUCAAAAUCAGAAUAUAUUGGAAAUUUUUUUUACCAUUUCUAAAUCUAAUUAUAUUUUGGAAAAUAUAACAAAAAAUAUAGUAUGUCCAGCCAUACUUCCAAAUUACAUAUCUAUAGAAGAUAUAAGGAGUAAAAAAAUUUAUGAACGUCAUACUCCCAUUUUCAAUGAAAUAUUUGCUAGGGGUCGAAGACCAUGGGGUGCUUUGAAAAUUCGAAGGAGUAAAAUGAAUAAACAUAAACGAGUCAAGAGACUUAGGAAAAAUAGAGUUUAUUAUAUGAAUCUUUUUGAGAAACAAAAAAAGACAAGAGAUGACAAUGCAAACAACAAAGUAAAUAAAGUUACCAAACAUGCUGAAAAUUUUGACCCAAGUGAAUAUGUUCUGAAUAUUAUUAGAGAAUCUGAAAAGGCCAAAAUUAUUUGGCGAGAAAUAUUCUAGAUCAAAGAAAAAAUCUAUAUUGAGUAAAGAAGAGUUAGAACCUAUUUUAAAUUAUGAUUGGCCUUUUAAAAAAUAAUUUUGAUAUUAAUAAUAUUAUUUAUUGUAUAAAUAAUAACUUUUUUUUGUAUAUUUAUUUGAAAUAAUAAUGUUCAUAAUUUAUUCCCAAAUAAUAUUAUUUAAAAAAAA